GCGUUCUUAGCUCAGUUGGGGCAAGUUAAAGUCCUUCACUGAAUUAAAUGAACACAAAGCUAACUUCUCUCAAGAGAGCGCGAGACUGAAGAAAAACUUCAUUCUAUUUAUUAUCUCGAGGUCGUGUGUUCAAUCCACACAGAGCGCA
rnacentral:tRNA from 1 species